rnacentral:misc_RNA from 1 species
GAUGAAGAACGCAGCGAAAUGCGAUAAGUAAUGUGAAUUGCAGAAUUCAGUGAAUCAUCGAAUCUUUGAACGCACAUUGCGCCCGCUAGUAUUCUGGCGGGCAUGCCUGUCCGAGCGUCAUUUCAACCCUCAAGCCCCCGGGCUUGGUGUUGGGGAUCGGCGAGCCUCCGCGCCCGCCGUCCCCUAAAUCUAGUGGCGGUCUCGCUGUAGCUUCCUCUGCGUAGUAGCACACCUCGCACUGGGAAACAGCGCGGCCACGCCGUUAACCCCCAACUUCUGAACGUUUGACCUCGGAUCAGGUAGGAAUACCCGCUGAACUUAAGCAUAUCAAUAAGCGGAGGA